GAUGAACGCUGGCGGCGUGCUUAACACAUGCAAGUCGAACGGAGUUCUUGGAUAGAGGUUUCGGCCAAUUGAAAAGAAACUUAGUGGCGGACGGGUGAGUAACGCGUGAGGAACCUGCCUUGGAGUGGGGAAUAACACAGUGAAAAUUGUGCUAAUACCGCAUAAUGCAGUUGGGUCGCAUGGCCCUGACUGCCAAAGAUUCAUCGCUCUAAGAUGGCCUCGCGUCUGAUUAGGUAGUUGGUGAGGUAACGGCUCACCAAGCCGACGAUCAGUAGCCGGACUGAGAGGUUGAACGGCCACAUUGGAACUGAGAAACGGUCCAGACUCCUACGGGAGGCAGCAGUGGGGAAUAUUGGGCAAUGGGCGAAAGCCUGACCCAGCGACGCCGCGUGAAGGAAGAAGGUCUUCGGAUUGUAAACUUUGUCAACAGGGAAGAAGAAGUGACGGUACCUGUUAAGAAGAAGCCAACGGCUAACUAACGUG
rnacentral:rRNA from 1 species